rnacentral:tRNA from 1 species
GCCGAGGUAGCUCAGUUGGUAGAGCAGCUGAUUCGUAAUCAGCAGGUCGUCAGUUCGAAUCUGAUCCUCGGCU